UUAAGUUCAGCGGGUAUCCCUACCUGAUCCGAGGUCAACCAUAAAAAAUUGGGGGUUUAAUGGCAGAAGCACGCGAGGCACCUGUAACGAAAUAUAUUACUACGUUCAGGACCCAACGGCGCCGCCACUGAUUUUAAGGCCCGUCGUGUUACCGACGAAGCCCAAUACCAAGCUAAGCUUGAGGGUUGAAAUGACGCUCG
rnacentral:misc_RNA from 1 species